GAUGAACGCUGGCGGCGUGCCUAAUACAUGCAAGUCGAGCGAACGGACGAGAAGCUUGCUUCUCUGAUGUUAGCGGCGGACGGGUGAGUAACACGUGGAUAACCUACCUAUAAGACUGGGAUAACUUCGGGAAACCGUAGCUAAUACCGGAUAAUAUUUUGAACCGCAUGGUUCAAAAGUGAAAGACGGUCUUGCUGUCACUUAUAGAUGGAUCCGCGCUGCAUUAGCUAGUUGGUAAGGUAACGGCUUACCAAGGCAACGAUGCAUAGCCGACCUGAGAGGGCGAUCGGCCACACUGGAACUGAGACACGGUCCAGACUCCUACGGGAGGCAGCAGUAGGGAAUCUUCCGCAAUGGGCGAAAGCCUGACGGAGCAACGCCGCGUGAGUGAUGAAGGUCUUCGGAUCGUAAAACUCUGUCAUUAGGGAAGAACAUAUGUGUAAGUAACUGUGCACAUCUUGACGGUACCUAAUCAGAAAGCCACGGCUAACUACGUG
rnacentral:rRNA from 1 species